AUUGGCUCCUUUCACAGAGCAUAAUGUCCUUGGAAUCCAUCUAAAUCAUUGUAUAUAUCAAUAACCCACUUACUUUUAACUGGUGAGUGUCAUCUCAUUUGGAUAUAACGCAAUUAACUACUUCAUUUACUUGUCAAAGGACACAUGCAAUUACAUACCACUCUUGAUGGUCAGGGACUGAGAAAGAAUAUGAUUGAAAAAUUGGUGACAAGGAAAUCCGGAGAAGAGGUUUGUAGAUGGACCUCUCUGAGUGAGCAAAUAAUGUGAAGAUAUUUACAUCCUAUGUCAUGCUCACCAAAGUAUGACCUCAGCACAGGAAGAUUUUAAUACUCAAAUUGAUAGGAUAGGAUAACCUGUUCUGUGGAUGCCAGUCAACUUCUUUUUUCGACCACCCCUGUCUUUGCCCAAUGGACUCCUGAGCAAAGUGGCCAUGGUGGCAGGGAUAGAAAUCAUGGGAUGUGCUCAGAAACAUGGAUUUUUACUCACCAAGGCUGACCUGGCUAUGGCCACUACUGAGUGCCCAAUCUGUCAGCAGCAGAGACCAACACUCAGCCCUUAAUAUGGCACCAUUCUUUGGGGUGAUCAGCUAGCUACCUGGUGGCAGAUUGAUUACUUUGGACCAUUGCCAUCAUGGAAGGGGCAAGGUUUUGUUCUUACUAGAAUAGACACUUACUCUGGAUGUGGAUUUGCCUUCUGUGCCCAAAAUGCUUCUGCCAAAACUACCAUUUGUGGACUUAGAGAAUGCCUUAUCCACCACCAUGGCAUUGCACAUAGCAUUAUUUGUGAUCAACGAAAUUACUUCAUGCAAAUAAAGUGUAGCAAUGGGCCCGUGCUCAUGAAAUUUGCGUUCCUCACCAUCCUAAAUCAGCUGGUUUGACAGAAUAGUGGAAUGGCCUUUUGAAGACUGUUACAGUGCCCACUAAGAAGGAAAACUAUACAAGGUGGGGAAAGGUUCCCUAAAAGGCUGUAUACACUUGGGAAUCAGUGUCUAAUAUAUGGUGCCAUUUCUCCCAUAGCCAGGAUCCAUAGAUCUAGAAAUCAGGGGGUGGAAUUGGUAGUGGCACCACUCAUUAUCCCUAGUGACCUACUAGCAAAAUGUUUGCUUCCUGUUCUUGUGACCUUAUGCUUUCCUAUCCUAGAGGUCUUAGUUCCAAAGAGAGAUGCUUCCACCAGGAGACACAACAGUGAUUUCAUUGAACUGGAAAUUAAGACUGCUGCCUGGCUGCUUUGGCCUCCUCAUGCUUCCAAAGCAACAGACAAAGAAGGGAGUCCACAUUUCUGGCUGGGGUGUUUGAUCCGGACUACCAAGGGGAAAUUGAACUACUACUCUACGAUAGAGCAGAAUCAGAGAGCUGGUACCAUUUCAGUAGGUCCUUGGGCUGCCUGAAAAUUAUGACGCUGGAGCAUCAUUUACUCAAAAUGCUCAUCCAAAAACAGGACAUCAAAACUAGUCACUCUUCGCCUUAUGGAAACGAAUACCCCAAGGUAAUAUGGUAUUAUUAUUAUUAUUUCUGAUUGGCAUAUAGCUCUGGUGAGGGUGGAUUUUUACACUCAUGCUAUAUCCUUCCUGUCAUUCUUUUCCCCUCUGUAGAUUUCCUCUGGACACUUUCCACACAUUCUCAUCUGGCCCCUGCUCUUGAGCAAGUUGAAUUAGGAGGUGGUACCUGGCAGUUCCUCCUCUAAUUAUCCAGGGAAGACAGAAAAAGAGGAAAACAGGAGUUGAGAGGUAAAGCUUAGAACAGAGAGAUAACCAUUAGCUAGAAAGGCCGAAUAGUAGGAGAAAAGAUAGCACAGGAGGCAAGGAGAGCAUGGUGAGCCAUGGAAGGGGUGAGGGAAAGAGACUGAAGACUCAACUCCACCA
ensembl:lncRNA